UACGUAGGGUGCAAGCGUUAAUCGGAAUUACUGGGCGUAAAGCGUGCGCAGGCGGUUAUAUAAGACAGUUGUGAAAUCCCCGGGCUCAACCUGGGAACUGCAUCUGUGACUGUAUAGCUAGAGUACGGUAGAGGGGGAUGGAAUUCCGCGUGUAGCAGUGAAAUGCGUAGAUAUGCGGAGGAACACCGAUGGCGGAAGGCAAUCCCCUGGACCUGUACUGACGCUCAUGCACGAAAGGCGUGGGGAGCAAACAGG
rnacentral:rRNA from 1 species